GAUGAAGAACGCAGCGAAAUGUGAUAAGUAAUGUGAAUUGCAGAAUUCAGUGAAUCAUCGAAUCUUUGAACGCACAUUGCGCCCGUUAGCAUUCUAGCGGGCAUGCCUGUCCGAGCGUCAUUUCAACCCUCAGGGUCCCCGUUCCGGCGGGGAACCUGGUGUUGGGGAUCGGCCCGCCCCGUGCGGCGCCGUCCCCCAAAUUCAGUGGCGGUCUCGCUGCAGCCUCCCCUGCGUAGUAGUUACAACCUCGCAUCGGAGCUCAGCGCGGCUACGCCGUAAAACCCCCGACUUUCUGAACGUUGACCUCGGAUCAGGUAGGAAUACCCGCUGAACUUAAGCAUAUCAAUAAGCGGAGGA
rnacentral:misc_RNA from 1 species